rnacentral:rRNA from 1 species
UCUGUUCGCGAAGCAAUUGGAAGUGGUUCCAAGAAAAGCCUCUAAGCUUCAGUCUAACGAGACCGUACCGCAAACCGACACAGGUGGGCGAGAUGAGUAUUCUAAGGCGCUUGAGAGAACUCGGGAGAAGGAACUCGGCAAAUUUGUACCGUAACUUCGGGAUAAGGUACGCCCUAGUAGUUUGACUGGCCUGCGCCAGAAGGACAAACGGGUUGCAAUAAAAAGGUGGCUGCGACUGUUUAAUAAAAACACAGCACUCUGCAAACACGAAAGUGGACGUAUAGGGUGUGACGCCUGCCCGGUGCUGGAAGAUUAAAUGAUGGGGUGCAAGCUCUUGAUUGAAGUCCCAGUAAACGGCGGCCGUAACAAUAACGGUCCUAAGGUAGCGAAAUUCCUUGUCGGGUAAGUUCCGACCUGCACGAAUGGCGUAACGAUGGCCACACUGUCUCCUCCCGAGACUCAGCGAAGUUGAAAUGUUUGUGAUGAUGCAAUCUACCCGCGGCUAGACGGAAAGACCCCAUGAACCUUUACUGUAGCUUUGCAUUGGACUUUGAACCAAUCUGUGUAGGAUAGGUGGGAGGCUUUGAAGUAGGGACGCUAGUCUCUAUGGAGCCAUCCUUGAAAUACCACCCUGGUUUGUUUGAGGUUCUAACCUUGGUCCGUUAUCCGGAUCGGGGACAGUGCAUGGUAGGCAGUUUUGACUGGGGCGGUCUCCUCCCAAAGUGUAACGGAGGAGUUCGAAGGUACGCUAGAUACGGUCGGACAUCGUGUUGAUAGUGCAAUGGCAUAAGCGUGCUUAACUGCGAGACUGACAAGUCGAGCAGGUACGAAAGUAGGACAUAGUGAUCCGGUGGUUCUGUAUGGAAGGGCCAUCGCUCAACGGAUAAAAGGUACUCUGGGGAUAACAGGCUGAUUCCUCCCAAGAGUUCAUAUCGACGGGGGAGUUUGGCACCUCGAUGUCGGCUCAUCACAUCCUGGGGCUGUAGCCGGUCCCAAGGGUAUGGCUGUUCGCCAUUUAAAGUGGUACGUGAGCUGGGUUUAAAACGUCGUGAGACAGUUUGGUCCCUAUCUGCCGUGGGCGUUGGAAGUUUGAAGGGGGCUGCUCCUAGUACGAGAGGACCGGAGUGGACGAACCUCUGGUGUAUCGGUUGUCACGCCAGUGGCAUUGCCGAGUAGCUAAGUUCGGAAGAGAUAACCGCUGAAAGCAUCUAAGCGGGAAACUCGCCUUGAGAUGAGACUUCCCGGGAGUUUAACUCCCCUAAAGGGUCGUUCGAGACCAGGACGUUGAUAGGUCAGGUGUGGAAGCGCAGUAAUGCGUUAAGCUAACUGAUACUAAUUGCCCGUGUGGCUUGUCCAA